GGAGAUGAUUAUAGUGCUCACAUUAUUGUCCACACAUUAUCACACACCCACAUGAGGAACUGGUGCAAACAGUUCCUCCUGCAGACACACGCACACACUCACUCACUCAAGAGUGUGGGACCGCCCCACCCUCUACAUUCUUGUACUCUAUGCUUUGCUAUAAAUAAAGGUACAAGGAGCUGCUCAGCGCGUCUCUGCCUCAGAACGUGAGCUGAGCAGGGUGCCCUUGUACAAGAAAUCUCUUUGUCUGUGUUUGAUCUGUUUCUCUCCUCUCAGUUCUGUGAUCCAGGUUGGAGUCAGCCCGCUGGAGGCGGUAAUCCUCUGACAUAAUUCUUGGUCCUUCGAGCCGGAUGGGAAGCCUGAGAUCCCGCUGAGUGGUUAACCUGAAGUCUGUCGACAGCCAGUCACCCAGGGUGUCUGAAAAGACCCAGGACGUGAAUUCGGACCUGGGCCAGAGUUAGAACCAACCCUCACGGUGAUUCUCUGGUUUUCCAUCCGAACUACAGAUCACCAGAACGGGAAAAGUGAAGCCAGGAGACUGGGUCCUAAUCAAGGUGUUCCAGCGACGUAGUUGGAGCGCCCCCAAGUGGGAAGGCCCAUAUCAAGUAUUGUUGACCACACCAACAGCCAUAAAAAUAGCAGAACGACCAUCGUGGAUUCAUCUGACCCACUGCAAGUUAGUAACCGAGGCAGUCAAAGAGUUGCAUAGUGACAGAGACUAGAGUUUCCUAUAGGGCAGUCUACUGGACAGUAUGCAGGACUAGCCUGAUGCGUCUGGGGACACAGACUGAUUAGUCUGGCACUAUAGGCUAGUGAAGAAAUCAACGCGGAUGCCUUGGCAGGCCAAACCGCCCUAUGUAAUCUCUGCAGGUGACUGACCUACAGGUUAUUCAACAUGAGGUCUGUUCGAUCUAAAACUGGCAUUGUGGCUCUUAUUGCAACAUUGACUAUUCUGCUACUCUUAUUAACAGUACUAGAGACUGAAUAUGAACGACAGCGAAGAACACAUCAACACUCCGGUGACUCAACAUGGGAAGAAAACACAUGGUAUCGUGCUAUGAACUGGACUGCAUACAGCAGUAAUAAGACUAAUUGCUAUGUUUGCUCACAGGUACCUCACCACACAGGACACUCUGACACACCAAGACCAGCUGUCUGAUUGGAGCUUUAGCUCCUGGCUUACUGGUCCCUGGAAAGCUAUUCUUCUUCGUAUUGGCAUAAUAAUUUUAGCUAUACUUAUUUUGCUGUGUGCUAUUUCUACUUGCAUUAUUCCAUGUAUUCGUACUUGCAUUACCAGACUUGUUGAUUUCAGAGUCUCUGCAGCUCUCGUCCGUUACGAUCCAUUGCCUCACAAAGACACACCUGGAGGUGUAGACUCGUCAACGGAUUCUGAGGGCUCUGAGGCAGAAGACUCCGUUUAGAUGAAUGUUUAAGUCAUGCAUAUCCUCUAUGACGUGUUAACAGAAAACAGAAAUGAGUUGUUAAUUACUGAUAUCAUGGAAAUGUAUGUCUUAUCCUACCUGUACAUUAUUGUAAAUAUCCAUGCAUUAAUGUGAUCAACAGGAGGGAAUGUUAGGAGAUGAUUAUAGUGCUCACAUUAUUGUCCACACAUUAUCACACACCCACAUGAGGAACUGGUGCAAACAGUUCCUCCUGCAGACACACGCACACACUCACUCACUCAAGAGUGUGGGACCGCCCCACCCUCUACAUUCUUGUACUCUAUGCUUUGCUAUAAAUAAAGGUACAAGGAGCUGCUCAGCGCGUCUCUGCCUCAGAACGUGAGCUGAGCAGGGUGCCCUUGUACAAGAAAUCUCUUUGUCUGUGUUUGAUCUGUUUCUCUCCUCUCAGUUCUGUGAUCCAGGUUGGAGUCAGCCCGCUGGAGGCGGUAAUCCUCUGACAAUAUAUAUAUGUAAAAAACUGACAAGUGAUGAAAGAUUUCUCUAUCAUCGGGAACUGAUGCAUCGCCAGCAGCAAUGCUUACCUCCAGAGUCGUUAAGACUAUUUUGGCUACAGAGGAGAAGUAGGCAUCCCAGAGGAACUGAGUCUGCUGGCGGAGACCCAAGAUCCUGUCACGGCCCACAGAUCGGAUAAUGGAGGGAACCUGGAGGAAGAGCCGAGAAAGAAAAGCAAGAGGACAAAAAUGACAGUGAGAUAGAUUAAGUUAGAUUUUAAACAAUGUUGAGUGAAGAAUGAGAAUCCGUACUUGAGGAAAAAAAGAGUGACAGGCAGACAGGUGGAGGAAGUGUCGGUAAUUGUGUGGACAUGCAGAAGAGAUUAAGAGGAAACUUCCCUCUCCAGACUCUCCCACCCCCACAUCUUCCUCUGUCCAUCAAGUAGUUUAUCCCCGGGAUAGUACGGUAACUCAACCACCUACCGUCCAGCUCUAAUACUGUAGUCACACCUUACAGUCAAAAUUAUUUGGCUUCUACGAGAGGGAACAUUGCAUAUCAUACUGUAUGUGCUCAAGUACCUGGUCAUCAAGACGUCUUGUCCCAAAUUUGGUCUAUAUUUUACUGCAUAUUCUUUACAAUUUUUAAUCAUAUAAAAGUGGAUACUUCUAGUAUAUUUUCUACAUACAAUGGUGGAAAAAAGUUUUCAGACACCCUUAAAAUUUUACACAAUCUCAAAUAUUAUCAUGGAAUAUUUGUGGAAAAAAUCUUUUUUGUGUUUCAAAUGAUGUGGCUGCAUUAGACAGACACAAACUAAAUGCUAUUUUUUUGUUUAUUGUUUACAAGAAAAACUAACAUAACUAAAUUCUUGACAGUUUCAAUAUUUCAGUUCUCAACAUUGUCGGUAUUAAAGUCAACAAAUAACAGAGAACCUAAGAUAAAUAAACCAUCACAUCAUCAAGUUAAUAUUUAGUAGUCCUGCCAUUAGCACGCAUUAGAGCUAAUCCUGGCUGGCAUGUUCCCCACGAGCCUUUCACACUGUUAAGGGGUAAUCUUGUCCCAUUCUUCUUGAAUUACUGCUUUUAGUUCUCCUAAAUUCUUUGGUUUACGCUUUGAAACAGACCUUUUGAUAAUCCACCACAGAUUUUCAAUGGGGCUUAUGUCUGGGGAUUGAGCUGGCCACUAUAAAAAUUGGAUACUGUGCUCCUGAGGCCAAAUUCUACUGACCCUGGAUGUGUGUCAAAGGGCAUUAUGUUGUUGAAACAUUCUGUUUUGAUCUCAAAGGAACAGUGCAUGGGUGGAAGGGAACAUGUGGGUUUGGAGAAAGGCACAAUACUUUGCAAAGUUCAGUGUGCCAUCAAAAAUGGUGAGAUGACCAACACCAGCAGCACUCAUGUAUCCCCAAACCAUGACACUGCCUCCACCAUGCUUGAAAGUAGAUACAUGAUGGAGAUAAUGCUUUGCCUGGCCUUCUGUGUACCCUCACAUUAGCAGGAGGAAGAUAAAGCAGGAAACUGGACUCAUCUGACCACAGAAUCUUCUUCCAGUUCCUGGCUGUCCAGUUCUUGUGUGCUUGGGUUCAACGACGCCGGGCUAACCUCUGUUUCUCAUUGAUCAGCUGCUUCUUGACAGCCUUGUAGGACCUUUAGCAAUGAUCUAAAAGUUGGCCACGUACAGUGUGGGUGGAACACUGGACACCAGCUUGGUUUAACCACUGCUGCUGAAGCUCCUGUGAUGGCAUUUAGUGGUUUUCCCUGCACACUCGGCUCAGGAUGCAGUUCUUUCUUGCUGAAGAAACCCUUGGAUGCCCAAAUCUUGGCUUGUCUUCCAAGCUAUUGGUUCGUCUGUAUUUCUGCAGUGUAUCCAACUGCUGAAGGACUGCAUCUGCACUUCCUGGCUAUCUGGCGGCAGUUAGGUUCCUUGUUUUAGCCAUUUUUGUCUCUGAAGAACUUUCAGAUGUGCUGGCUUUAUACAGACACGAAGUACGGCAACAACAAUUGUGUCUUUCAAUAACAAACACGACUUUCAUUCGUAGAUCACUGGUACCAAAAAGACCCAAUACUCAAAAUUUCCCAUGUAUUUUUUAUGGAAUACAAGUUACUAAUGGCUUUUUAAGGAUUUUUUUAGUAUUUUGGCUGUGACUGUACUAUAAUGAAUUACCCCUGAAGACCUAAGAGUGAUUCUUAAUGCCAUAUUUCACAAAUGCAUGGGGUGUCCGAAAACAAUUUACCACCACUGUACAAGAUCUUUCUUUUUCAGUGAGCGUGGUCAGUUUUCCAAAAGCCAAAGACUGAUUUAUAAUUUAGAGUAAUAUAAAGCAGAGAAAAAGAUCAGACAUCAAGUUUCCACUUUCAGUUGUUAUUCCAGGAAAAAUUACACCUGCAUGAUGGUAGCAUUGUAUUAUAAGCCCCUUUCCAGACAUGUUGUUUUGACUUUUCUGUAAAAGUCACAAUCUCACUAGGUCAGACCUGGUGACAUUUCCAUAUCACAUUCAACAUGGCAUAGGUCAGAACUGCAGGCUUUGGGAUUAACAGAUAUGCACACACAAACAGCGUACUUUGAGGUGUGUUGAAUGACUUAUAGAGGGAUUUUUUUUUUCUCAUUUCUGCACCAAUAAUGGUUCAACAACAUCACAGAGAGCCAUCUCAGACAGGUUGCAUGUCAGAAAACACCUGUCUCAUUCUCUUUGCUUGCUAAUUUCCUCUAUUUCAAACUGAAAUGUUCACAGGAAUAAAACCAAUCCAGGUUUUGCCAAAACAUUGACAGAAGUGGAAAUUCAAUUUGUUGCUUCGAGCUGUUUGUAGGAGUCUUUACUCUAAAUGUAUUAAACACCUGUAGCAUUAAACAGCAGCAGGAUCCAUGUGAGUGUCUCCAAAGAGAGAGUUGUGUGCAUUUACAGUCACCAUACACUUCAUUAAUUAUUCAUACAUGAUUUCCCCACAUUGAUCCGCAUCUAACAAUAAGUUUCACUGUGAACUUUUCUUCACCUCAGACAGGUGAGCUGUCACACAGAGUCAGUCUAUCAGCUGCAGUUAAAUCAUUUGUUACACAGCAGCUGUCCUCAGGUUGACUCCUGAGCUCCAUCACAGCUGUCAGGUAGUGGUUAGAUAAUCAUCACACAGAAUUUUCAGUGGAAAUUUUAAAUUACUUAAAGUUAAUAUUUUUGGAUAGCUGAAUAAGCUGCUUUGAAUUUAGAUUUACGCUUUUGUUUAUAGUGCAUCAUUGUGUGUUAUACAUCACUUUAUGUUCAGUCCAAACUGGCAUUAAUGUCAAAUACUGUACAGGUAUUGUGUGUCUAUCACUGUGGUGCGUUUGUCUGAAAGAAGCUGAAUGAAGCCAUGAGGAACAUUAAUGUAUACUACCUUUCAAAAGUUUGGGGUCACCCAGGCAAUUCCAUGUUUUCCAUCAAGUCACAUUUUUAUUCCUGUGUUAACAUAAUUGCCAAAGGGCUUUCUAAUCAUCAGUUAGCCUUUCAACACGAUUAGCUAACACAAUGACCCCAAACUUAUGAAUGGUAGUGUAUAAGUAUUGUAUAUCUGAAUGACAGAAAACUGUCACUUUAACAGACUGAUGAAGCAGCAAUGCGAUGUAUCGCAUGUCUAAAAAGGGCUAAAGGUUUAGAUUUUAGUGAAGAAGCAGUUUUUCAUCUCUGUGAAGGUAAAGCAACUUUCUAUUACCCUUACAUUGUCUCAACAAGUUAUUACAAGUUGGUCAUUUAUUUAAUUUGAAUGGAUAUCAAAUUAAAUAACCUUGCAAUGGACAUGUACCAACAAACAGUGCUGAUCUGCUAUAGCGGCCAAAAUAUCUUGUUCCUAGUGUGCCAGCGGAAAAUCGAGGUCCCAGCUCACCUCGACAUGGAAAAUAUGAACAGCUGGCUUGUGGAUUGUAAGAGUAACACUCUCAGGGGGAGGCAGUGAAGAGAUAAAAUCAAGGGAUACGAUGAUCCUGACCAGGGAGCUAAACAUUUAGAUAAGCCAGGAAGUGAGAUAGCAGGAUGCUGCCUUGAUGCUCAGUUUGGAAACAUUUUUUUAAAAAGCCUUCUGGAUGAGGUCAGACAUGACCUACAGUAUGCUGCCCCACUCAGCCUGACAACGAAGCUGUAAAGGGAAUAAGCAGGCUUUCAGCCAGUGUUUCUGAAGAGUCUCAUUGGCCCUUGAGAGAGUAUGGUGGAUCUGGAGCCCAGGACCCGUCUGGUGUUUUGGCCACAGCAACAAAAACCUCUUCACUGAACGAUAUAGUGCCAACCUGUCGGACGUGGCUAGUGGAAUAGUCACUGCGGCCUAAAAGAGGAACAGUGACUUGUGAUUGUCAGGUGAUUGAAACACUGGUCUCUAUCCAGGAGAAGGAUGAGAAGUUUUGAUUAAAGAGUCCUGAGCUGCUUGGUUCCAUCUCACAUGAUACAACCAAAGAGCUCUCAUCUUACUGGGAUUUGUGAAGCCUAAUAAAGCCGCUCAGAGUGACA